CUUGUGAGCUGUGUGACCCUGCGGAAGUCAUUUGGCCACCCUGGCCACUUUGUCCCAUCUGUACAGUGGGGAUGAUAAUAUUCCAGAGGGCUGCUGUGAGGACUCAAGGAAUGUGUGCUACAGAGUGUAGAGAAGCGCUGGCCUGUGGUGAGGCCACUGCUACUAGGCCAACAUACCAGCUACUGUCACUAUCUACUUUGCUACUGGGUUUCAGUGGAAUAUUCCAUGGGGGUGAAAAGGCCCUUCUGUGGUUAAGAAAUAAAUGAUUGAGAAUACCUGCCACACAUGCUCUCCUGGGCAUGAUCCCCCAUGCUUGCCUGGUUCUAGCAUCUUCUCCAUCUUCUUCAUGCAACUUUCCAGCUCUCAGAACCCUCUCUGGAUUGUGAGAGGAGUCACCCCUCACCAAUGUUCUCAGCCUGGGCCAUUUCAGGGCAUUGGCCAUAUGGCAGCUGCCCUGCAGGGGGACUGAGGUUCCUGGGCAGCUGGGUUCUGGUCUCCCCUGCAAGGCAACCCUUCAGUGCAGGUGGCUGGGCAGCUUGGGGCUUUGCUGGGCCCUGGGCUCUGCUCCCUCUGUCCAUGUCAGAGACUCUGCCCUCAAACCUUAGAGGAAAGAAGGACACUGUCCCUGGACUCUGCCAGGUGAUCACAUCCUUCCCAGCUGAGUCCUGGGGAGGGAAACUCAGACGCCAGCUUCCAGUUGAUGGAGAGCAAUCCAGCACAUUUCCCUCAGAACUCUCCUUUGCCUUCUCUUUGGCUGGAUAGUCUGGCCAGGAGGCUCUCGCCGGUGGGGUGGACAGCUGCUGCCUGUGUCUAGCCGGGCCAAGCCUCCCGCACUGACAUAAGUGAGACUUUAGGACAACCAGAAGGCCACAGCCUAAUUUGUUCCGUGAAGUGAGUGGAAAGGUCUGGAUGUCUGAAGAUCCUGUCCUUGUCCCAAGCACUUUCCAUUGCUGGGCUUCCUUUCCCUCGUCUGAAGUAUUUAUGUACUCAGGAGUAGAGCUGCCCCCUCAGCAUGUGCCAGGUUCUGUGCCCGGCACUGGGGGUGCAAAGGGCCCUGCCCUCAAGAAGUCAAGUCAAGUGGACAGUCUGAUGUGUAAACAUGUUCCUGCCAAAGGACAGUGACGUGGCAUGGACAAUGUGGACACCGAGUAGGCGAAGAAAAUUAUGUAACUGUCAAACAUCAUGAGGAAGGGUAAGAAGAUGGGGACAAAUAAGAGAAAUUCUGGCUUUUCAUAAAGAGGAGUCCAGAGACAUUGUCGAAAGCUGACCCACAAAAAAAUAGAAGUGUGAGUGUGUUAUAUUGGGAUAUAGAGGCAAUGAUCAGCAGAAAGAACUAAGAUAAAAAUCAUGCUGAUCAAUACUACUGAGUGUUCGUCAUGUGCCUGCAUGGUUCUAAGUGUGCAUCAAUUCACUGAAUCCUUACAAUAACCUUACAAGGUAGAUGCUAUUAUCAUCAUCCCCAUUUUAUGGAUGAGAAAACUGAGGUACGGAAAUGUUAAGUAACUGGGUCAAGGUUACACAGCUAGUAAGUGGUGGAUAUUGGAUGUGAACCCUGGGACAUCUGGUUCCCUGAAGCCUGCUUUUAACCAUCAAUCAGCUACUUUCAACACUUGAAAAAAAUUUUCUGGCUGAUGUAGCUGGUGCAGGGAGAGGGGUAAAGACCAUUUCUUUCUUUACUCUUUGCUAAGGGUAUGUUUGUUAUCAUAUGCAUGAAUUGCUUUGCUUAAAAAUGUACACAAGUAAAUAAUAAAGAGCAUUGAUUCUGGAGUCAGAGAGGGUAUUCCUGUCCUGGCUUUGCUACUUACUGGCUGUGUGUCCUAGAAUAAAGCACUUAACCUCUCUAUGCCUGUUCUUUCUUUUGGAAAAUGGGGGUGGUAAAAAGCUGAUCAAAGUCGGAGAACUUAGUGUGCUCAUGCAUGUGAAGCAGUGAGCACCGAGCCUAGCAUGCAGUGAGUGCUCCACAAAGCUCAGCUUCCGUUAGGCCUGGGUGCAGUGUGCACAGAGAAGAGGCAGCAACUGCUGCAGAAGGAGCCAGGGAAGGCUUCUCAGAGGAGGCGGAGUUUGAAUUGGUUCUUAAAGAAGGUGGAGGAGUGCUCCGGGCAGAAGGGCAGCUCAGGCAGGGAAGUGUGGAGAUGUGGAGUUGCACGGUGUGUUGGUAACAGCAGGAAAUAUGAAAGAUGGGAUGAGAGCUGCGGUGGGGGGCUUGGCGGGGAGGAGGAGCAAUUGGAGCGUGGCGGAGGUGAGCUGCUGUGGUGUAAGCUGUCCAGGGAGAGGCCCAGGUGGCAGGGAACUGGGGGUAGUCUCCACACCCAGUCAGACAGCCUGCAGGGAGCUGAAGCCUGCCAAGCGCCACCUGAGCUUGGAAGCAGAUCCUUUCCCCCGGGAAUACUUCAGACGAGGAGCCCCUCCUGCCCUGCUCAACACCUUGACUGUCGUCUUUCAGAAGACCCAGUGCAGCUGCGCCCAGACUCCUGACCCAUAGAAACCGUGCGAUGAUAAAUGUGUUUUGUUUUAAGGGCA